CCCUUAGAUGUUCUGGGCCGCACGCGCGCUACACUGAUGCAUUCAACGAGUCUACAACCUGGUCUGAUAGGGCUGGGUAAUCUUUUGAAUGUGCAUCGUGAUUGGGAUAGAUGAUUGCAAUUCUUCAUCUUCAACGAGGAAUGCCUAGUAAACGCAAGUCAUCAGCUUGCAUUGAUUACGUCCCUGCCCUUUGUACACACCGCCCGUCGCUCCUACCGAUUGAAUGAUCCGAUGAAUAUCAUGGAUUGAGGAUGCAAGUAGGUUCACCUAUCUUCAUCUUCGAGAAGUGAAGUAAAUCUUAUCAUUUAGAGGAAGGAGAAGUCGUAACA
rnacentral:rRNA from 1 species